rnacentral:rRNA from 1 species
AGGGAAUCUUCCACAAUGGACGCAAGUCUGAUGGAGCAACGCCGCGUGAGUGAAGAAGGUUUUCGGACCGUAAAGCUCUGUUGUUGGUGAAGAAGGAUAGAGGUAGUAACUGGCCCUUUAUUUGACGGUAAUCAACCAGAAAGUCACGGCUAACUACGUGCCAGCAGCCGCGGUAAUACGUAGGUGGCAAGCGUUGUCCGGAUUUAUUGGGCGUAAAGCGAGCGCAGGCGGAAGAAUAAGUCUGAUGUGAAAGCCCUCGGCUUAACCGAGGAAUUGCAUCGGAAACUGUUUUCUUGAGUGCAGAAGAGGAGAGUAGAACUCCAUGUGUAGCGGUGGAAUGCGUAGAUAUAUGGAAGAAUACCAGUGGCGAAGGCGGCUCUCUGGUCUGCAACUGACGCUGAGGCUCGAAAGCAUGGGUAGCGAACAGGAUUAGAUACCCUGGUAGUCCAUGCCGUAAACGAUGAGUGCUAAGUGUU